rnacentral:rRNA from 1 species
UACAGAGGUCUCAAGCGUUGUUCGGAUUCAUUGGGCGUAAAGGGUGCGUAGGCGGCGCGGUAAGUCGGGGGUGAAAUCCUGGAGCUCAACUCCAGAACUGCCUUCGAUACUGAGGAUCUCGAGUCCGGGAGAGGUGAGUGGAACUGCGAGUGUAGAGGUGAAAUUCGUAGAUAUUCGCAAGAACACCAGUGGCGAAGGCGGCUCACUGGCCCGAUACUGACGCUGAGGCACGAAAGCGUGGGGGAGCAAACAGG